rnacentral:rRNA from 1 species
CCCUGGAACGGGACGCCAUAGAGGGUGAGAGCCCCGUCUGGUCGGACGCCUAGCCUGUGUAAAGCUCCUUCGACGAGUCGAGUAGUUUGGGAAUGCUGCUCUAAAUGGGAGGUAUAUGUCUUCUAAAGCUAAAUACCGGCCAGAGACCGAUAGCGCACAAGUAGAGUGAUCGAAAGAUGAAAAGCACUUUGAAAAGAGGGUUAAAUAGUACGUGAAAUUGUUGAAAGGGAAGCGCUUGUGACCAGACUUGGGCCCGGUGGAUCAUCCAGCGUUCUCGCUUUUGCACUCCGCCGGGUUCAGGCCAGCAUCAGUUCGCCGCGGGGNAAAAAGGCUUCGGGAACGUGGCUCCUACGGGAGUGUUAUAGCCCGUUGCAUAAUACCCUGGGGCGGACUGAGGUUCGCGCUCCGCAAGGAUGCUGGCGUAAUGGUCAUCAGCGACCCGUCUUGAAACACGGA